rnacentral:rRNA from 1 species
UACGUAGGGGGCAAGCGUUGUCCGGAUUUAUUGGGCGUAAAGAGCGUGUAGGCGGCCAGGUAGGUCUGCUGUGAAAACUCGAGGCUUAACCUCGAGAUGUCGGCGGAAACCAUCUGGCUAGAGUCCGGAAGAGGAGAAUGGAAUUCCCGGUAUAGCGGUGAAAUGCGCAGAUAUCGGGAAGAACACCCGUGGCGAAGGCGGUUCUCUGGGACGGUACUGACGCUGAGACGCGAAAGCGUGGGUAGCAAACAGG